CGUCAAAGCUUAAUAAUAUGAAUAGUAAUUUCUAAAUUAUUUUCACCCCUUUACCAAUAUUGAGAACUUCUAUAACAAUAUAGAAAUUUUAUGCUAAAACAAGUAACAAGAGGUAACCCCUCUCUAAGAUGUAAACAUAAACAGGAUGAAUAAAUCACUGGUAAUUAACAAACUUAAUUUAAAAUAAUAACCCCCCUAGAAAAAAUUACUUUAUUCAUUGUUAACCUAACACUAGAGCAUCACAAAAAGAUUAAAAGAAAAAGAAGGAACUCGGCAAAUAUUGACCCCGCCUGUUUACCAAAACAUCACCUCUUGCCUUUAUAAGAGGCCAAGCCUGCCCAGUGACCCAUGUCAACGGCCGCGGUACCCUAACCGUGCAAAGGUAGCGUAAUCACUUGUCUCUUAAAUAGAGACUUGUAUGAAAGGCUUCACGAGAGUUACACUGUCUCCUCUUUCUAAUCAGUAAACCUAAUCUCCCUGUGAAGAAGCGGGGAUAUAAAUAUAAGACGAGAAGACCCUAUGGAGCUUAAAACAUAAUAACACCUGAUUAACUUUUUUUACUAUAGUAUUUACCCUAAUUACAUGCUGAUUAUAUGUUUUCGGUUGGGGUGACCGCGGAGAAUAAUAUAUCCUCCACGAUGAAGGGGUAUAAAUCCCUAAACAACAAACCACAACUUUAAGUAUCAAAAACUUGACAUAAAUGAUCCAAUACUUUGAUCAACGAACCAAGUUACCCUAGGGAUAACAGCGCAAUCCACUUUAAAAGUCCUUAUUAACAAGUGGGCUUACGACCUCGAUGUUGGAUCAGGGUAUCCUAGUGGUGCAGCCGCUACUAAUGGUUCGUUUGUUCAACGAUUAAAACCCUACGUGAUCUGAGUUCAGACCGGAGUAAUCCAGGUCAGUUUCUAUCUAUAAUGGAGCUUUUUUCAGUACGAAAGGACCUAAACAGCAUGGCCUAUAUAUUCACAUGCCAUAAUUAAUUACUUUUGACUAUACUCAAAAAAUUAUCAACCCACAAUAUCCCCUCUCAAA
rnacentral:rRNA from 1 species